rfam:Parcubacteria group bacterium CG2_30_45_37 cg2_3.0_scaffold_9401_c, whole genome shotgun sequence.
UUUAACAGGGUAAAAUAGUCGCAGACAGCAGGGGCGCAGGUUCGGCGCUUAAAUUCCUGCCGAGACAAAGCUAAUUUUAGCUAUCUGGGGGUCUGCGAUUAAUCGCGGAUUUUUUGUUACUUUAAAAACUUUUUUAAAAAAAGUUUUUAAUAUUUUCAA